UGUUGGAUGUAAUGCAGAAUCACAAACGGAUAUGGGUUCGUCGUCGUCUAAUGAUUUUAACUAUGUUCCUCAAGUAAGGGUUGAACUAGUUCCGAAAAUUGAGCAAGAGUUUGAUUCAUUAGUUGAAGCUCAUAAUUUUUACGAUGAAUAUGCACGGGCUGCUAGGUUUAGUAUUCGAAUGUGGAGUACUAAAAAAACACGAGCAAUGAAAUUAUCCACUUAUUAAAAAUAGGUAAGCUGAUAUUAUUCAGUUAUUAGAGAAAUUGUCCACUUAUUGUUCACUUAUUAGAAAUUAUUACUAUUUAAUUUAUGCUGCUUUUUUUCUCACGCAGGAGUGAUACGGCAUGAUCUUGGGGAAUGAUUCAACUACAAGAACCUAUUUUAGCUGACAUUUUUUUUGAGCUGCACUUAAACUGGAAAACUUGGAGUUGUUGGAGCUAUAGCAAAGUGAAAAAAUGGGAUUUGUUGGAUCUGUAGCAAAGUGAGAAAUUGGGAUUUGUUGGAGCUGCAACAAAGUGCAAAACUGGGAUUUGUUGGGCUGCAGCAAAGUGCAAAAACUGGGAUUUGUUGGAGCUGCACUCAUUCUUUCAAACUGAGAUUUGUUGGAGUUGCACUCAUUCUGGAAAAUUGAUUCUUACUAUGUAAUGUUGACAUGGUUAUUGAUGUAUUGUUGACAGGGUUGUUGAACUAUUUUGAAAGAUAAUUAUAAUUCAACAAAGUCAAUUUGCUUAG